rnacentral:rRNA from 1 species
AACGAACGCUGGCGGCAUGCCUAACACAUGCAAGUCGAACGAAACCUUCGGGUCUAGUGGCGCACGGGUGCGUAACGCGUUGGAACCUGCCCUUAGGUUCGGAAUAACUCCCCGAAAGGGGUGCUAAUACCGGAUAAUAUCCUCGGACCAAAGAUUUAUCGCCUUUGGAUGUGCCCGCGUUGGAUUAGCUCGUUGGUAGGGUAAAAGCCUACCAAGGCGACGAUCCAUAGCUGGUCUGUGAGGAUGAUCAGCCACACUGGGACUGAGACACGGCCCAGACUCCUACGGGAGGCAGCAGUGGGGAAUAUUGGACAAUGGGCGAAAGCCUGAUCCAGCAAUGCCGCGUGAGUGAUGAAGGCCUUAGGGUUGUAAAGCUCUUUUACCCGGGAUGAUAAUGACAGUACCGGGAGAAUAAGCUCCGGCUAACUCCGUG